UACGUAGGGUGCGAGCGUUAAUCGGAAUUACUGGGCGUAAAGCGUGCGCAGGCGGUUCGUUGUGUCGGUGGUGAAAUCCCCGGGCUUAACCUGGGAAUGGCCAUGGAAACUGGCGAACUGGAGUGCGGCAGAGGGGGGUGGAAUUCCGCGUGUAGCAGUGAAAUGCGUAGAGAUGCGGAGGAACACCGAUGGCGAAGGCAGCCCCCUGGGCUAGCACUGACGCUCAGACACGACAGCAUGGGGAGCGAACGGG
rnacentral:rRNA from 1 species